rnacentral:rRNA from 1 species
ACCUAAAAUCUAGCCCGACCACCAACGCUUAACGACCCUUAUUAAUAAGUUUGAAAUAGCCUAAGAGGAAUAUCUAAAACAUUUUUCCGCUUAAGUAUGGGAGACAGAAAAAGAAGAAGGAGCUAUAGAAAAAGUACCGCAAGGGAAUGCUGAAAGAGAGAUGAAAUAGAAAAUAAGUAACAGAAAGCAGAGAUACCCCCUCGUACCUUUUGCAUUAUGAGUUAGCCAGAAUAAGUGCGCAAGGUGAACCAUAGCUCGCCCCCCCGAAACUAAGUGAGCUACCCCAGGACAGCCUAUUUAGAGCUAACCCGUCUCUGUGGCAAAAGAGUGGGAAGAUCCUCGGGUAGAAGUGACAGACUUACCGGACUUAGUUAUAGCUGGUUGCCUAGAAAAUGGAUAGGAGUCCAGCCUCCCCCCUUCUUCUCUCAAAAAGCAAAUUUUUUCUUAUCUGAUUAAAAGAAGGGAGGAGAGUCAUUUGAAUGGGGAACAGCCCCUUUAAAUAAGGAUACAACCUUACUGGGAGGAUAAAGAUUAUGAUUAACAAGAGUUUAACCCUAGUGGGCUUAGAAGCGGCCAUCUAAGAAGAAAGCGUCAAAGCUCGAGAAAAUACACCCCUCCAAUAUACCAAUAACACGUCUGAAACCCCUAAGGAAUACUAGGCCUUUCCACAUCUGUGGAAGAGAACAUGCUAAUAUGAGUAACAAGAAAGAUCUUAGGAUUUCUCCUAGCACAAGUGUAAAUCAGAACAGACAUCCCGCUGAGAAUUAACGGACCCAAAAAAGAGGGAACUGCCAGAUAGACUUUACUGGAAAAAUCCGCAGCCCCACCCGUUAACCCCACACUGGAGCGCUUAAAGGAAAGACUAAAAGGAAGGGAAGGAACUCGGCAAAACAAGCCCCGCCUGUUUACCAAAAACAUGGCCUCUUGCAACCCAAGAAUAAGAGGUCCAGCCUGCCCGGUGACUAUAUGUUCAACGGCCGCGGUAUUUUAACCGUGCUAAGGUAGCGUAAUCACUUGUCUUUUAAUUGGAGACCUGUAUGAAGGGCACCACGAGGGCUUAACUGUCUCCCCUCCCCAGUCAGUGAAAUUGAUCUCCCCGUGCAAAAGCGAGGAUGAAUACAUAAGACGAGAAGACCCUGUGGAGCUUAAGACAACAGCAGCCCAUUGAAUAGACCUCAAUUAAGAGGGUGUACCCUAGUGUCAACCUGCUUAGCGUCUUCGGUUGGGGUGACCAUGGGGAACACAAAACCCCCAAGAGGAGUGGAGGCCUAGCAGGAAUUCCCAGCAAACAACACCCAGACCUCCAAAGACUAGGGGCACGCCCCAAGUCAACGAAAAAUUCGACCUAGAAUGAUCCGGACUACCCGAUUAACGAACCAAGUUACCCCAGGGAUAACAGCGCUAUCCCCUUCUAGAGUCCUUAUCGACAAGGGGGCUUACGACCUCGAUGUUGGAUCAGGACAUCCUAAUGGUGUAGCCGCUAUUAAGGGUUCGUUUGUUCAACGAUUAAAGUCCUACGUGAUCUGAGUUCAGACCGGAGAGAUCCAGGUCGGUUUCUAUCUAUGAAGGCAUUUCCUCCUAGUACGAAAGGACCGAAGGAAACAGGCCUAUGCUUUUAGCAAGCCUGACCCCUACCUGAUGAAACCAAAUUAAUCAGCCAAGGGGCUACAUUACACCCACUUAGAUAAUAGUGA